rnacentral:rRNA from 2 species
UACGUAGGUGGCGAGCGUUGUCCGGAAUUACUGGGUGUAAAGGGCGUGUAGGCGGGGAUACAAGUCAGAUGUGAAAUACCGUGGCUUAACCACGGGGCUGCAUCUGAAACUGUAUUUCUUGAGUGUCGGAGAGGAAAGUGGAAUUCCCAGUGUAGCGGUGAAAUGCGUAGAUAUUGGGAGGAACACCAGUGGCGAAGGCGACUUUCUGGACGAUAACUGACGCUGAGGCGCGAAAGCGUGGGGAGCAAACAGG